AACGAACGCUGGCGGCGCGUCUUAAGCAUGCAAGUCGGACGGCAAGGGUAGCAAUACCCCUAGAGUGGCGGACUGGUGAGUAACGCGUGGGUGACCUACCCUCGAGAUGGGGAUAGCCAUUAGAAAUAGUGGAUAAUACCGAAUACGCUCGUGACCCUGUGGGGAUACGAGGAAAUCAGGCUACGGCCUGGCUCGAGGAUGGGCCCGCGUCCCAUUAGCUAGUUGGUGAGGUAACGGCCCACCAAGGCGACGAUGGGUAUCCGGCCUGAGAGGGUGUACGGACACAUUGGGACUGAGAUACGGCCCAAACUCCUACGGGAGGCAGCAGCUAAGAAUAUUCCGCAAUGGACGAGAGUCUGACGGAGCGACGCCGCGUGGAUGAAGAAGGCCGAAAGGUUGUAAAAUCCUUUUGCUGAUGAAGAAUAAGUGGUGUAGGGAAUGACAUCAUGAUGACAUUAGUCGGUGAAUAAGCCCCGGCUAACUACGUGCCAGCCGCCGCAGUAA
rnacentral:rRNA from 1 species